GGACAAGCAGUUUUUCCCUCUGAACUAGACACGGAGACCCCUCUGGCCUCAUCUCCCACCUCCUAGGGCCCAGACUGGGUGCUCCCGGGACUGAGCCUGGCUGCUCAUCCCCCGGCCCCAGGGCCCUCCGUGCAUGCUGAAAGAGAGAAGGAGGGAAGCGUUCUCAUUCGCUGGAGCUGCUCCAGGAGGUCCAGGAUCUGUCUGCUUCGUUCCCUGCUGAACCCCCAGCACCCAGAGAGGGACCGGCACACGGGGGCACUCAGUACCUGCUCGCUGAAUGAAUGAAUGGCGUUUAUCCCCAGGGAGUGGCAGUUGCGCUGGACAGUUUCUAAAAGGGCUGGAGAUAAUCUUGCCUCUUGGAAAGGCGAGCAGAGGGCGUGGGGGACUCUGGGCCAAGUGAGUGUGCCUCAGUUUCUUCAUCUGGAAAAUGGGGAUGAUGCUAACCUCGUUGGGCUGUGGUGAGAUGAAAUGGGCUGAUCUAAAUGCAAGUGCUCAGAACACUGGCUGCCACGCCGUGGGGUGUGUGUUUGCUGGUGUCUCCGGGAUAGAGAGCCGAUAGAAAGGCUCCCCUCCCAGUCUGGUCCCCUCGACCUUUUCCCUCCCCGUGAUGCCGCCCUCCUCCUGCGUCCCCUCAGAUUCCUCCAGUUUAGGUCCCUCUCCUCCCACGCCCGGGGCAUAGGGCUGGCCCUGGCAGGGCCCCUCCUUCCCUGAGCCGAGCCUGGGACCACUGCUCAUGCGAAGAUGGACCCGGCCCAGUGAGUCAGCCCACCCCGCCUCGCCCUGCAGCCGCCGGCGAGGGGAGGCCAGGGGAAAGUGCCGACGACACCCCACUCCUUCCAGGACGUCGAGGUUUCCUCUGGAGAGUGGAGCGACAAGGAGCCCCAGGUUGCCACACCACUCUUCUUCAGAACUAGGGCUCGCCCUGGGUGUGGUCCCCGGGGCCUCACCAGAUUACUGUCAACCUCGCUUGUGCAGCCCGUGGGAGACUCUGCCAGCCCUCCACCUUGACGACGUCUUCCAGCUCUUCUCUGCACCUCCUCGUACCUGACCUUGAAAUCUGGGCCCCUGACCACGCUGGCUUCCUCGUUCCCACCAUCCCCCAACACCGCCUCCCUUUCCUAGUCUCUCCCCACUUUCUUAUUCUUCUGCAGCCCCAGCUUGGCUCUCUCGUAUCUCUUCCCUUCAGUCUCUUCUCUCUCUUGUAGGUCUGCUCUUCCAGGAAGCCUUCCUGGAUUGGUGGGACCUCACUAUUCGGAGAGUGUUCCACAAGUGGCAGCAACGGCACGACCUGGGAGCUUGCGGAAAUGCAGGAUCUUAACAAGGGGGUCCCCAGGGGUCCACACGGACACGACACCUGAGAAUUAUCACGUUAGGUUACCCUUGUAGUCCAGUCCCUCAAAAGAUGGAGAUUCUGGGUCAGCUGGUAACAGGCUGACGGGGCACAGCAGAGAGAGCAUUUCAAAUUCUGUGGGUGAUGAAGCAGACCCCGCUCCCGUCUUCCAACCUGAUCCCCACAUUCGUAACAGCCUCUCCAGCUGACGGGAGCUGGACAAGCGAGAACUCCCCCUGGAAGCCCUCACUGUGCGACUUGGUCAGCAGAGACAGUGGGCUGUCCCAGGCCACGCCGUUCUGGUCUGCCCUGUUCCAGGAGGGUCCCUGCCUGGGAUUCCAGAAUCUGCCUUCGAAACUAAGCUUCAACACCUGAGUGUUGCCCAGACGGGCUCUCUGCAACGCUGGGGUUCUGUGUUGGGGGGGUCUUCAUGUCACCCCUCUCCCCUCUCUUCCUCUCUCUGCUGCAAUGCACGUUAGCACGUUAAAGCUUCGGGAAUCACAAGUCAAGAAAACCAGCUGGUUGAGACCGGCCCAGUGGCCCAGCAGUUAAGUUUGCACGUUCCACUCCGGCGGCCCGGGGUUCGCUGGUUGGGAUCCCGGGCGUGGACCUACACACCGCUCAUCAAGCCAUGCUGUGGCAGGCGUCCCACAUAUAAAGUAGAGGAAGAUGGGCAUGGAUGUUAGCUCAGGGCCAAUCUUCCUCAAAAAAGAAAAAAAAAAAAAGAAAAAAGAAAACCAGCUGUUCAACCUCAUUUAGCCCAGAGUUUCCAAAACUUAGACAUCCUUUGUCACUUAGCACCUGUGAACAUCCUGUGGGGAUAACUGGGAAAUGCUCCUCUGAUUCCCUUCUGCUGACACACUCACACACACACAGAUACGUCAGCUGCUAAGACUUUCAUGUGUGGCUCCCUGGUGCUAAGGAGCCCUUUUCUGAGGGGAGAAGCUGAGUGUGGUGGUGUUGGAAGGGGGGCUGCUGGAGCUGCUCUUCCAAAGCCCUUCUGGACAGUGGCCGUGUGGGGUGCCCAGCGUCACCUCACCCAGGGGCCGUGGGCAGGUGGGCCUCAGCAGCUUCCAUUUUGAACCUCCAAAAUCCACAUGGAGUCCCAGGGCUGGUGUCCCUGUGUCCUGAUGGCCUUUGUAAAACAGGGUGUGAUCCCCACCCGGAAAGGGAUGGGUGGGGAAGAGGCACCCCAGCAGAUCCAGCAGCUGUCCCGGGCGUCUGCAGGAAACCCCGUGCCUUGUCCACCUGCAGGGAGUGUGGCAGCCGCUGGAGGAGGUUUCCAGCCAAACCCUAGCCUGGGCUUGUGCUGACUCUGUGGUUAGAUGGAAGGUGGAACUGGCAGGGCCGGUUCUGACAGCCUGACUCACCAGCUUCUUCGGCCCCCUGCCUCUCGCCACGGGCACAGUGUGGUGUGGGAAUGCAUGCAGGAAUGCCAGACUGUGGGCUCCCAGCCCUGGCCGGGGCGCUGGGUGGGCUGGGGCUGAGGCUGGAGCUAAUGGAGAUCCGGGGAGCCUGUGGGCUUGGGAAAAGGAGACUCUGAGAGUCCUGCUGCUCGGAGAAUCAUCAGAUGUCAGCACAGAGUGGCCGGACUGGACCAGACCCCAACACCCCAUGUUAGCAGAAAGGAAACCGGUGGGAAGCCUUUCCCAAGGCCAGACAUCGACUCCUGGCAAGAGCUGGGAUUUCCUGACAAUGCAAACAAACCACCCACUGUGUGGCUCAGGCUUGUUUUAAACAUCACGGAGCCCUGAGCAGAAGGGAAGGCCCAGGGCCAUGCUGGGAAGCCGGCGAGAAGCUCCGAGGGCAGCCACAAGAGGUCUGAAGCUUGCUACGAGGAGACGAAGGAGGAGGGAAGAAAAGAGCCAUGCAUCCGGCCUCCAAGCCUCAUUCCUCGUCCCCUGUGGCCCCAUCAGCAUCAUUUCACACAGCGGUCCCUCCCCGCAUCCAGCCACACUUCCCUCACUUGCUUCCGGACGCCACCGUCUCCUGGGUGCCCCCCGACCCCGUUCACUGGCCGCUCUCGUUCCCUUUGGCUGAUUCUCCACCGUCUUUGAGCCUCUUCUCUCUCCAUCUGUGCUCACUCCCUUGGUCACCUCACCUAGUCUUACGGCUUAAAAGCUCUCCGAUCUUUUCUCAAAGACGGCUGGUGUCAGGCCCCAAUUAGUCUAGACUCUUUAGAAUGCGGGCACUUGGCAUCAGUUUGUCCCUGCUGCGUCCUGAUUGCCAAUGCUGGGGCUACAAGGAGCGUCCCACGUAGUCACACAGGGACACUGACCUUUCCCGAGGCUCUGGUCUGCCCCCACGGUGCCCUGUGCUGUCACAGAUCCUCCCUGUGGCCAUGUGUGCACGCGUGUAAGGCUCGAUCAUGUGUGUGUGUGUGUGUCUCCCUACCUUAGAG
ensembl:lncRNA